CCAGGAGUGUGAUGGCUGAGUUGUACGGUUAAGUCGGGAGAGCGAGCUGUGCACCCGGACGCCGUGCCCAGGACCUGGCCUCCUGGGUCGAUGUGUGGCUUGUUCAAGGGGACCCAAGGCUGAGGGCUGCAGGGAAAGAAAGGCUAAUCCUUGUGUUUAAAGAAGAUAUUCUGCCUUGAUUAAAACCAUUGGCUUUAAUCGGAGUCACAGCAGAGUCCAUAGUAAAUGCAAACAUGCUUGUUUGCUCACGCCCCACAGCUGGGUCGGGUUUAUGGCCGAAGGGAAGCUUAUCAUCGUCGGCUGGCUGGGUGACCAACCGUUGAUUUGCACAUAUAGCUGUCACCAGCCCCUGCUGUGUUUCCCCUGUGACUCAUUUAUUUCAGGUGCUAUAGCAACAGGUCUGGGAUGCACACAUGAUGAAGUUCCUCGCCAGACCGAGUUCAAAGCACCUCUUGCCCUUCAAUGGAUCAGAAGAAAUUCUCUUUUUAAAUAUCUGCCAGCUGACCCAGAGCUGGCCAAAACAGGAAGGAAUUUUCCACCAGGACUUACUGGAUCUUGAGAGCUUCUUUCAGAACUUUGUGUGUUCAGGUGGGAAAGCUUUGUUAGGAGUCGGAGGCUGGGAUCAUAGCUCAGAUCUCCCAGAAUGAGCUAAAACACUCACGCUCUGAAGUCAGACGGACUAGGUGGUUCGUGAUCCAAGUGGCAGUGAAGUUGCCAUGAAGAAGAGAGAAAAACGGGGAGUGUGGAGCAAAGUUGCAUUAAACUAAAUUCUUUCAUCAAAAGUGUUGUCAUCCUGGGGCGCCUGGGUGGCUCAGUCG